ensembl:misc_RNA Y_RNA Y RNA
GGUCUGAAGGUAGUGAGUUAUCUUAAUUGAUUGCUUAGUCAGUUACAGAUCAAACCUCCUUGUUCUACUCCUUCUCCCCUUCUCACUAGUGCACUCGACUAAAAAAUAAA